rnacentral:ncRNA from 1 species
GUUGAUGGUUCCCCGUUCGGGGAUUAAAACGGGAAUCCGGUGCCGGGUCCGAGGACUCGAAUGCCGGGGCUGCCCCCGCAACUGUAAUCGGCGAGCGCUUUGCCGCCCCAUGCCACUGGAUGCGUCCGGGAAGGCGGGCAAGGCGCGUCGAGCCGAGAGCCAGGAGACCUGCCGUAACG